rnacentral:lncRNA from 1 species
GCCGUAGGAACUCUCAAAAAUGUCAGGCUGAAAAAAUCAGACACAGCUUAACAGCCCAUGUAAAGUAUACAGAACAAUAAUCAUUUUGAUAGCAUGCCAUUCUCAUGUGUCAGUCCAAUCAGAGGAAGUUAAAGUGAAACAGAGUCACAUCUGAAUAGACUGGUCAAUGUUUCAGUGAAGAUUUUAUAUAUGUAGCAGAGAAGCAAACUAUAGAAAGAGCCAGUGAAUUUUAAAUGGUCUGAACAACAGAAUCUAGCAGUCUAAACAGAUUGGCUAAUACUUCCUUAGCCCUUUAUAUAACCUUGACUGUUCAGGCAAGCGCUGACUAUCCAGUUGUAGCUAGAAAAUAAAUGCUGAAUGCCCAAAGUUCAGAAAGUGCUCUGGAGGGAGACUAGGGAAUUUUAAGUAUUAUUUUCAACAUUAGCUUAGCUUUCAUUUUUAAACAGUUCUUCAAAAGCCUGAUAUGUUCAUUCUUAAUUAUCCUUUUCCCCAAAGCACUUCUGUCCUCUAGAAAUAACUACAUCAUAAGGGAAACUUAUACAAAUGCCAAGCUCAAAUAUUUUCCUUUUGAAAACAAUGCCAGCUCCAGAAACAUAUCACAAAGAGCUGAGACUGAAGGAAACACAAGGCAGAGAUCACCAUUCCUAAGAUGCUUACCGUUUAUUCAGAAGUAUAGUAAUCAAAUGUUCCACUAUAAAGAAAUGUAACUUCAUAUAGUUCUCAUAUAUUAAGAACAGAAUCUCCUCCAGAAUAAGCAGAGACAGAAUUUCUUAAAAACUUAGAGCUUCUGCUGUAGCAUACUAGGACUGCCAUCAUCUUGAGAGCGCUGGGACCAAGGUUCCAUCCCCAGCCAGGCAUAGUGGGUUAAAGAUCUGGCAUGGCCGAAGCUGUGGCUUCGGUCUCGACUGCAGCUCUGAUCUGAACCCUGGCCCGGGAGCGCCAUAUGCUGUGGGGCAGCCAAAACUGAAAAAAACGAACAAAAAAAUCUUAGAAUAUGCUAGGGACCAUGCUUUAUGCACACUGCCUUCAUUUCUCAACACUAUAAGGUACACAGUCUUAUUAUCUCCAUUUAACAAAUGAGAAAAAUGAAGCUGAGGGAGGCUGAAAAUUGCUAUCACAAAGCCAAUUAACAAAUGGUAGCAUGGGAUUUAGAAACCCAAGCUGUCUGAUCUCAAGGUUCCAUGUGCUUAACAACUAAGGACAUUCAUUAGGAAGCGAGGUAUUUGAAGAUGCAUUCAUUUUGUUCCCUUUGACCAAGAAGAUCCCAUUUAGUUUAAUGACAGCAGCCUCUAUAAUAUAAGGACACGUUUAGGAAUUUCUCUGAGAUGUACAAACACAUUUUCAAAUAAGCUUGACCAGCUAAAAUCCACCAAAACUGAGGUAACACCAGGUAAAUGAAAAUCUUAUUUAGUUUGGAUUUAAUUUUGAAAUAUGCAGAUUUAAUUUCUAUUACGAAUUCAUUUUUGCAAUGGUCAGAGGUUUUCUGAAAACACUGAUAUUUUAAGAGAGUUGUGAAGAGUAAUAGAAAAACCACAGGUGAAUAAACUUUCAAUAAAAACAGACAGUCAGGAUUAAAAUGUUUUACUAUAUAUAGAAACAUAAAAAUGAACUGACAUUCUUCAAACUAAUUUGUAAGCCCAGAUUCACACCAAGUACAUUCAAAACUGCUUCCUGCAUGUCCAAGUGAGAUGAGUUGUAAAAAAAAGUCAAUACACACUAAGAUACACUACUCGAAGCCCAAGAAUUCUCUAGAAUACAAGUGUGAGAGCUAAAUGCCUAUCAUCUGGAGUAUAUUUCAUCCUAAGAUCCUCAGAAGUCUACAUUAUUACUUGACCUGGCAGCACAAUAGUAAUUAAAUAUGCAGUCAUGUUAUUUGGUAAAAUCCCAAUUGAAUAUUAAACUACAAUGUGGUUCAAUCAAAUCACCACUGUUCUGCUGCUGAAACACACAGACACACAUACACACAAGCAUACACUUACCAAGAGUGUCUGUGGUGGUGUUAAAAAUAAAAAAUAAAGCAGUAGCUUCAAUACAAGUACUCAAGUAAACUGCUAAUCACUCAUCUGUAACAUUCUUCUUUGCAGGCUUUGUACUCCCUAAAACAGUAGCUUUCAAACCAUUUUGACUGUAACCCACAGCAAGAAAUACAUUUUUGAUCACACCCAGAGCAAACACACACACAGUUGCAACAAAUUUUAGAAAACAAUCUUCCUACCAUAUGCAGCUCGCUAAUUUCUACUCCAUUUCACUUGUUAAAAUGUUGGUUACAACUCAUUAAUUUGGUUUCCUGACCAACCAAUGGGUCAUGGCCAGCAAGUUACAAAGUACCACCCUCAAGUGCCUACCUGCCAGGUCAAAAGUUCAAGGAUGAAGUACAGAUGAGAAUAAGAGUAAGAAGGGAUAAGAACUUUAGAGUACCCACUGUCAAACUCUAUGUAAAGUUUAAAAAACGCAGAAUAGUUCUUGUUAAUUGUACUGCAUCUUAGCGGACAGACUCUUUGGGUUCCUGGCCAAGAUACUAUUCAAGAGGUUUGAAUUGACUCUUGGACAAUAAAGCAAAAGCAGUAUUACAUCCACUGGACAGAUGGGAAAACUGAGAGAAAAGAGGAUAAAUGCUUCGUUUGCUCACACAGUCCCUAGGAGAAUCCUCACAGGAAUUGAAUCCCAAUUGUGGUAACUGGCCAACUCUUUCAAGUUUUUCUAUAAAACUAAAAGCAAUGAGUCUUGUC